GCUUACGGCCAAACCACCUUAGGCACGCCCGAUCUCGUCUGAUCUCGGAAGCUAAGCAGGGUCGGGCCUGGUUAGUACUUGGAUGGGUGACCGCCUGGGAAUACCAGGUGCUGUAAGCA
ensembl:rRNA 5S_rRNA 5S ribosomal RNA